CCUACGGGUGGCAGCAGUAGGGAAUUUUCGUCAAUGGGGGAAACCCUGAACGAGCAAUGCCGCGUGAGUGAAGAAGGCCUUCGGUUCGUAAAGCUCUGUUGUAAGAGAAGAACGGUAAUGAUAGUGAAUGAUCAUCACGUGAUGGUAUCUUACGAGGAAGCCACGGCUAACUACGUGGCAGCAGCCGCGGGAAUACGUAGGUGGGAAGCGGUAUCCGGGAUGGAUGGGCGGAAAGGGUGAGCAUGCGGGAACGUGAGGCUGGAGUAAAAGCCCAUGGCCUAACCGGUGGAAGGCUUUGGAAACUGGGGGUCUGGAGUGCAGGAGAGGAGAGUGGAAUUCCAUGUGUAGCGGUAAAAUGCGUAGAUAUAUGGAGGAACACCAGUGGCGAAGGCGGCUGUCUGGACUGUAACUGACGCUGAGGCUCGAAAGCGUGGGGAGCAAAUAGGAUUAGAUACCCUUGUAGUC
rnacentral:rRNA from 1 species